AUCACACCAAAGAAACCCCAAAUCCUUUCUUUCUCCUUUCUCUUCUCUUUUCUGAUUCAUGGACUGCUAAGUACAUCACCUGAAAUGGUGAUUUUUGCCAAUGAAGAAGCAUCAGCCCCUCCUUUCAUCUUCUUCAUUUCCUGCCAAGGACCACAGGUUGUGGGUGGCUGUUUCCGGCGAAACCAAGAUGGGUAGCAUCCCCGUUUUCUUUCUUGUGCCUUACCUGUCAAUGGAAUCAACCCAAACCUCCACCAGAAGUGGAGAUUUCCCUGCAAUCAAGAAGACAUCAAGCCAAACACACCCUAUUAUUGUUGUUGCUUUGCCCAUAUGACUAACAUGUGACAAGAAAGGAACCCACGAGGGUUCGCCGGAGAACGCCCACUGCCACUUUGCUCCGCCACCACCGCUGUUGACAACAGCCACCACCGAGCCGCUUUUCUGCUUUCGCAUCCUUCCCUUCCGGUUCACCGAUCUCAGCCAAAUACCCCAAACCCAAUCGUUGUUGCUUGUUGUUCUGAAUUCUUUUCCGAGUUGUUGCCGUCGGCGACAGAAUCACAAAGACCAAGGAUGGAUCGCCUUUUUUUGACGGACUUCUUCUUCCCUCCUCUUUGCGAUUGGUUUCCUCCACCGAACCACCUGCUGCCGCCUUCAAUUUCCUUUUCCCUCUGCUUGAUAGAUGAGAAGCGUAUGACUGCUUCAUUCGCGUUUCUUUUGGUCGUCCGAAGAAGACGUGUCUCCUUUGCUAUAUUUGGGGAAUGUGGCAAAACAGUCCCUGUGUUUAAUACUUUAAAUUAAAAUUGACCCCUUUGACAUAAAUCCUUUCAAGGCAAAUCCUAUUGGACUCAGUCCUUACAAAAUGGUCCUUAUGUUGUUUUAAAAGAUCAAAAAUAGUCCCUUUUGGUUUAAUUCUUUACCAAAAGGAAUUCUUUUGGUUUGAUAUUUUACAAAACAAACCCGAAAAUGUUUUAAAGUCCAAGAAUGGUUACUUACGGUUAUUCACGAAAAGCUUCACCAAAACGAACCGGGAUCGAGAUCACGCAUCGAAUGUGAGUUUCUAUGGCCCCUGUUUUACAGUUUUAAUAUUUGGGGGAGAACACAUGAGUGUCUAUUAACAUCAUUAAAAACUAAUAAAGAAAUCAAUAACCUUACUAAUGAAAUAGCUUUGCAUCGUUCAAUAACCUUGUAACAAAACAAUAACGUCGUUAAAAACUAAUAAAGAAAUCAAUAUAUUAAUUAUUGUAACAUCCCGGAAUCGCAAGAGUAGAGUUGAAGGGCUAAAAGUGUAAGUUUUAGAGGAUGACUCGGCGAGUCCAUGGCUGACUCGGCGAGUCAGGUCGCGGUCAUGGUCGCGUGUCAAGUGGCCUACUCGGCGAGUCCCUAGGAUGGACUCGGCGAGUAGGUGCUGUAUGGAGAAAACCCUAAUUUUCGGGGUUGAGUCCUAUAUAAAGAGCAUUAUACCCCUCCACAGCCUCCCUUAUCCCCCCCCCCCCCCCCCCCCCUUGAGUUCCAGAAACCCUAAAUUCGUGGAGAAAUCAUUUGUGGAGAAAAUUAGAGCUUGGAGAGGUGUUGUUUGAAGAGAUCUUGAAGGAGAAGUGGCUUGGAUCAAAGGGCUUUGCUUGGAUUCGAGUUUGGCUGCUUUUGAGGCAUCUUUUGGAGUGGAGGAGUUCGUGUCAGAGUUCGGAGCAGCAGGAUCUUAUCUUUUCAGCCGACAGUUUCGAGGAUUUUCGUGUAGUUCUUGAUCAAGAGUUGGGAUUGAUAUUGAAGCUAAGAGACAUGAUGAUUGGUUGGAUACAUUAAGGGUUUUAGAGCUUCUUCAGACAGCUUAAUGACGAGUUACUGAAACAAGAAGGUGCCCCUUUAUAGCAAUGUAGCAUUAGGUUAUAUAGUUAGGGAAAACCUCUUAAUAACAAUGUACAAUUAGAUCCCUUUAAUAUAAAUGUAUUACAAUUUUUUGACAUGAUGUUAUUGGAUGAAAUUGA